UGAGUAACCUGCCCUUAACUCUGGGAUAAGCCUGGGAAACUGGGUCUAAUACCGGAUAUGACUCCUCAUCGCAGUGGGGGGGGGUGGAAAGCUUUAUUGUGGUUUUGGAUGGACUCGCGGCCUAUCAGCUUGUUGGUGAGGUAACGGCUCACCAAGGCAACGAUGCGUAGCUGGUCUGAGAGGACGAUCAGCCACACUGGGACUGAGACACGGCCCAGACUCCGUACGGGAGCAG
rnacentral:rRNA from 1 species